UGUAUGAAUGGACACACGAGAGCCAAGCUGUCUCUUACUAAUUUCUAAAAACUAACCUUCAGGCGAAAAGGCCUGAAUCGCUUUAUAAGACAAGAAGACCCUGUCAAGCUUCACUAGAACCUUUUACCACCGAUAAUUUAUAUUAUUCACAAUUUACCUUAUCCUAGUUUAGUUGGGGCGACUGAGGACCAAAACUAACGUCCUCCCUAAUAUUCGGGGAAUAACCCUUCAAUGACCCCCUAAGGGACCAUGAGACCAGCUACUGCAGGGAUAACAGGCUAAUUUUUCCUAAGAGCCCAAAUCGAAGGAAAAGUUUGGCACCUCGAUGUUGGCUUAAGACAUCCAUAAAGUGCAGCAGCUUUAUAUGGUAGGUUUGUUCACCCUUUAAAGUCUUACGU
rnacentral:rRNA from 1 species